UACCUCGAUUGGAGCUGCGGUGCGC
rnacentral:sRNA from 1 species